rnacentral:lncRNA from 1 species
ACCCCCCCCCCCCCCCCCCCCCCAUAAACCAGCCUGCAUAAUUUUUUGAUUAUUUCCCUUUUUAAUUAGCUUUGAUACUAAAAGAAAAAUUCAUAAACAUAAAUUCAUGUUCUCAUUAAUUUAUAUUAAUUUAAUAGAUAAUGACUUAAAAUUUUAUUUUUAGAGGUUAAAUGGGAAGCAUGUAAGAAACCGUAUUAGUUUUGAUUGAACCAUUUUCAUUUACUAUCUUGAAUAUUUUAAUGACUUUGAAAAUUCUCUUAAAUAAUAUUCUUUUCUUUUUUUGAUAAAUAACAUUCUAUUACACUUAUAACAUAUAAAACGUUAAAAUUAAGUUUGAAUCCGUAUAAAACCACAUAGACUCGCAACCAGCCCCGCCUGCAUUAGUUUUUAAAAAACCCACUUCAACCCCCCCCCCCCCCCCCCCCCCCCCCCCACCCCCCCCCCCCCCCCCCCCCCCCCCCCCCCCCCCCCCCCCCCCCCCCCCCCCCCCCCCCCCCCCCCCCCCCCCCCCCCCCCCCCCCCCCCCCCCCCCCCCCCCCCCCCCCCCCCCCCCCCCCCCCCCCCCCCCCCCCCCCCCCCC